rnacentral:lncRNA from 1 species
UAUAUGUGAUUUAAUGUUAAGUAUUUGGAAUUUUGUUUAGUAAAGUAUAUGUUGAUUGUUGAAUUGUCUUAGCAUCUUAUUACUCGAGUCCACAUUGUUGAACUCUGUCUUAGUAUCUUAUUACUCGGGUCCACCAACCGGACCAGGUGUAAAGGCCCAAUUUCAUCCAGCCUAAAACCAAAAAUAAAUAAACAAAACAUAAAAACCAAAAAAUAAAAAAUCCAAGUCCACUUACAAAAAAUAGGGCCCAAUACAUUUCCCAAAUUACUAGCCCAAUAACACAAAACCCUUAGGCCCACAACAUAAGUUUUCAGAAAACUAAAAAAACCCUAGCCCUUUGAGACACCGCUCCUUGCCAUGUCAACGGACACUUUGCCCGAAGACACCCACGCCCCGAGGUCUGUCGUUCUGCCACCGUUACACCAAAAUGGCUAAAGUACGACUCCCACCGUCGCUGUUGAUCGUCUACGAAUGCCCGCAAAGAAAAAGAAAACAAAACAAAUGAUAAAACUGGC